GCCCUUUGGAAUUGGAUUUUUUGUCACCAUUAUCUGUUUGCUCAGAACAAAAGUGGUGGCUAGAGUGGCUGGAGGCUAAGGAAGCUGCCAAGCAAUCCAUCACCCAGCUAGCAGGUGUGAAGGAGCCUUAUGACACCAAAGUGGCAAAAAGAGGAGCUCAGCAGGGCAGGGGAGGUUUCAGUCAAGGGUGUGUAGCAGUAGCUGUAACCAAAGCACCACGUCCAGCCCCCAUCAGGGGAGGGAAAGCUGUCCGGCUUCCAGCCAAAACCCCUGCAGCCAGGGGGAGGUCUGGAGCAGCUGCCCAGUCAGAUAGGGUGAAACUUUCUCACAACACUAAACCCCAGUUGCCUCUCAACAAGUCUAAACAGGACAGUUGCCCUGAUACUUUAAGGACAGCAGAGGUUGCUGUGACAGAGGAAGUCAGCGAGUCCAGUCCGGUGAACCGCAGAUCUCAUGCAGCAAGGCUGGGCCUCGCUCGUGCCUACUCACGCUCUCCAGACACCCAGGACCAUGCAAAACAGCU